UCCCCCAGGAUCUCCAGCAGCUCUGAAGCAAGCUUCGAGGCAGCCAUCUUGGUCCAGCUGCUUCAAUAAAUGGUCUGAAUGUGUUCCCCUCAAAAUUUGUAUGUUGAAACCUAACCUCCAAGGUGACAGUAUUACAAGGUGGGGGCUAUGGAAGGUGAUUAGUUUACUAGGACAGGACCCUCAUGAAUGGGGUUAGUGUCCUUAUAAAAGAGACCCGAGAACAUCCCUGCCACUUUCUGCCAUUGAGGACACAGCAAGGAAUCCGCAGUCUGCAACUAGAAAAGGGCUUUCACCAGAACCCAACUGUGCUGGCAACCUGAUCUUGGACUUCCAGCCUUCAGAACUGAACUGAGAGGAGGAAUGGGAAAGUUAAAAUGACAAAGUGGAACAGGGAGAACAGGAGAUUUCAGCCAAGGCACAAACUCAUACCUCUAUGAGAAAGUCUGGAUGCUCUUACCUACAUUCUGUGCACCUGUCCUAUGUUGGGUUGACCAUGUCAUCAGCUCAAUCCUCCCUCUUUGGGCUACCGAGGAAAGCUAUGUGCCAUUUCUGCUAAAAACUCCAACCAUCUAGCUUCAGCCACACAUUUGAUUCAGUUUCAGUCCCACACAACUGCCACCGGGAGCUCUUACAGCUUUCUCAGAUCUCCACAGGCAUGCACCUUUCCCACAGAUGACCCUAAGUCCUGCAUCAGGAAGCCUUUACAGAAGCAGAAGGCACCCCAGCAGCGAGACCAGCACCCCCAAGCUCCUUCCCCGGAACUACAUACACUCAGCAGCUCAGCAUCAGGCCGCCACAGCUUUGAACCGGAAGAAAACAAGGAAUGAUCAGCCCGUGGAGAAAAUGUCUCCCAAGAACCGAGAAUCCCAAGCAGGAAGAAUGAGAGCACACACUUGCACCACCACCAUUUGUCCCAGUAGAUCUCGUGUUGCCCAAAAGGUCCUAAGAAAUUAAAUAUCUCUGCCCUCGACCCCAUCCCGGCCAACCUUUCCUUCUCCCACAUCAGCCCAUUACCUUCCCACCCAUCCUGCUCCCUCCAGCUCAACACAUCAAGUCAGCUCAACUCAAUCACACAAAGCAAGAGAACUGCAUUUGAGACUCAAAACACUCUCCAUUCAGUUAUGCAUGGAAGAGCCGAAGAUAGCACUGGCAAAUACGUGGCAUAAGCCCUGGUCCUCCCUCCUCUGGUGCCAGAUCAGACAUCAACAAUCAAUCACACUGUUUUCCAGCUGAUCCCAGACAAAGCUCCAAAACCCCUCUCCCAGCUCUCCAGGCAGCCACCAUCCAUCAGUCAAAGCUGUCAGUUGAGAUAAGAUCUACUUGCUAAGUACAGGAAGACUUAAGUCAAACCAGGACUCUAUAUUCAUGUAUUAGGUACAGCAAAGAAUAGUGACCAACUGCACAGUAGUAAGCACUCUGUAGGCAAUGAAUAAAUAUGUUCUAGUGACUUAUGCACAACCUGCCAUGCACCUAUAAAAUGUUCAAAAAUUACAGAAGAACUCUAAUAGGGUGAUUUGUUUGGGGAAUGACCUCAAAUUAUAACUCUUUUAUAUUUAAAUUUACUAAAAACUCUAAAAUUAUGGAAAUGCAAACUGGUGGAGCCACUCUGGAAAACAGUAUGGAGGUUCCUCAAAAAAUUAAAAAUAGAACUGCCCUACGACCC